CCGCUAUUGGAGUCCGAUUAAGACAUGCGAGUCGAGAGCUUUCGGAGCUCGGCAUACUGCUCAGUAACACGUGGGUAACCUGCCCUGUGCUGGGGGAUAACCUCGGGAAACUGAGAACAAUACCCCAUAGUCCACUACGCCUGGAACGGUGAGUGGAUGAAAGCCCCGGCGGCACAGGAUGGGCCUGCGGCGUAUCAGGUAGUAGGGGGUGUAAAGUACCCUCUAGCCUUCGACGCGUACGGGUUGUGAGAGCAAUAGCCCGGAGAUGGAUUCUGAGACACGAAUCCAGGUCCUACGGGACGCAGCAGUCGCGAAACCUUGACAAUGCGGGAAACCGUGAUCAGGGGACUCCAAAGUGCCAGGAGUAAGAUCCUGUGCUUUUCUUUUCUCUUCAAAGGAUUUGGAAUAAGAGGUGGGUAAGGACGGUGCCAGCCGCCGCGGUAAUACCGGCGCCUCGAGUGGUAGUCGAUUUUAUUGGGCCUAAAACGUCCGUCGCCGGUCUGGUGCAUUCGUGGGUAAAUCAACCCGCUCAACGGGUUGAAUUCUGCGAGCACGGCCAGACUAGGGACCGGGAGAGGUGUGGGGUACGCUCGGGGUAGGGGUAAAAUCCUGUCAUCCCGAGCGGACCACCUGUUGCGAAGGCUCCACACUAGAACGGAUCCGACGGUCAGGGACGAAGCCUAGGGGCACGAACCGGAUUAGAUACCCGGGUAGUCCUAGGUGUAAACGCUGUGGACUUGGUGUUGGGAGCUCCCAGAGGGCUCUCAGUGCCGUAGCGAAGGUGAUAAGUCCACUGCCUGGGGAGUACGGUCGCAAGGCUGAAACUUAAAGGAAUUGGCGGGGGAACACCGCAACCUGAGGAUUGUGCGG
rnacentral:rRNA from 1 species